AGAGUUGUAGUCCUGGCUCACGGAGUGAACGACGUGGCGGCGGUGCCUAAUACAUGCAAGUCGAGCGAGGUAGCUUGCUACCUAGCGGCGGAACGGGUGAGUAACACGUAGGUAACCUGCCUUUAAGACUGGGAUACCCAGGCGAAAGUUUGGCUAAUACCGGAUAACAACGGGGACGGCAUCGCCCCCGCUGAAAGCCGCGCUUGCGGCGCUUUUAGAUGGACCUGCGGCACAUUAGCUAGUUGGCGGGGCAACGGCCCACCAAGGCGAGGAUGUGUAGCCGACCUGAGAGGGUGACCGGCCACAAUGGGACUGAGACACGGCCCAUACUCCUACGGGAGGCAGCAGUAGGGAGUUUUUCGGCAAUGGGCGAAAGCCUGACCGAGCAACGCCGCGUGAGUGAUUGAAGGUCUUCGGAUUGUAAAGCUCUGUUGCGAGGGACGAACAACGCGGCCAGGAAAUGGGCCGCGCCUGACGGUACCUCGCCAGAAAGUGACGGCUAACUACGUGCCAGCCGCUGC
rnacentral:rRNA from 1 species